rnacentral:rRNA from 1 species
GAUUCCUUAGUAACGGCGAGUGAAGCGGGAUGAGCUCAAAUUUGAAAGCUGGCGUGCUUGCGCGUCCCGCAUUGUAAUUUCUAGAGGCGUUUUCCACGCUGGACCACGUACAUGUUCCUUGGAAUAGGAUGUCAUAGAGGGUGAGAAUCCCGUACUUGACGUGGACGACCAUGCGUUUUGUGAUACGCUCUCGAAGAGUCGAGUUGUUUGGGAUUGCAGCUCUAAAUUGGUGGUAAAUUCCAUCUAAAGCUAAAUAUUGGGGAGAGACCGAUAGCGAACAAGUACCGUGAGGGAAAGAUGAAAAGCACUUUGGAAAGAGAGUUAAACAGUACGUGAAAUUGUCAAAAGGGAAGCGUUGGAAGUUAGUCAUGGGUCGUGUAGCUCAGCUUGUGUUUUCAUUGGCUUUCUCUAUGCGAUCCAAGCCAGCAUCGGUUUUGACUGUCGGAUAAGAGCAGGAGGAAAGUGGCUUUUUCGGAAGACCUUAUAGCCUCUUGCUGGAUACGACGGUUGGGACCGAGGACUGCAGCAUGCCGUAAGGCGGACCUUCGGGUACCUUCAUGCUAAGGAUGCUGGCGUAAUGGCUUUCAACGACCCGUCUUGAAACACGGACCAAGGAGUCUAACAUGUCUGCGAGUCUUUGGGUGGCAAACCCAUAGGCGCAAUGAAAGUAAAUGCAGGUGGGAUCCGUAAGGUGCACCAUCGACCGGUCUUGAAGCUUCGUGCGGACAGAUCUGAGUAAGAGCAUAUAUGUUGGGACCCGAAAGAUGGUGAACUAUGCCUGAAUAGGGGCGAAGCCAGAGGAAACUCUGGUGGAGGCUCGUAGCGGUUCUGACGUGCAAAUCGAUCGUCAAAUUUGGGUAUAGGGGCGAAAGACUAAUCGAAACCAUCUAGUAGCUGGAUCUGCGGAG